rnacentral:rRNA from 1 species
GACGAACGCUGGCGGCGUGCUUAACACAUGCAAGUCGAACGGAAAGGCCCUGCUUUUGUGGGGUGCUCGAGUGGCGAACGGGUGAGUAACACGUGAGUAACCUGCCCUUGACUUUGGGAUAACUUCAGGAAACUGGGGCUAAUACCGGAUAGGAGCUCCUGCUGCAUGGUGGGGUUGGAAAGUUUCGGCGGUUGGGGAUGGACUCGCGGCUUAUCAGCUUGUUGGUGGGGGAGUGGCUUACCAAGGCUUUGACGGGUAGCCGGCCUGAGAGGGUGACCGGCCACAUUGGGACUGAGAUACGGCCCAGACUCCUACGGGAGGCAGCAGUGGGGAAUAUUGCACAAUGGGCGGAAGCCUGAUGCAGCAACGCCGCGUGCGGGAUGACGGCCUUCGGGUUGUAAACCGCUUUCGCCUGUGACGAAGCGUGAGUGACGGUAAUGGGUAAAGAAGCACCGGCUAACUACGUG